UGCAGGUGAGGUUGAAUUCCAUCUCGGUUGCGGCCGCCGCGCGCACUCGGAUACCUCUUUCCACUCUCCUCCUUUCUCCGCACGCCCGCGCCCACCGAGUCCCCAUCUCCCUCCCAGCUCCGAGCGCGCUCCCGCUGCCGCUCCCGCUGCCGCUCGCUCUCUACAGCCGUGGCCGCGAGCGGAGUGCGGCUCGACCCGACGGCGCGCUGUGUAGGUCUGCUGCCUCUCACAUGGAAAGCGCAGCUCCCUAGUUUCCCUUAGCUCGUCUCUCGCACGGCUCUCUGUGUCUCUGGCCGACCGCGACACACGUAGAGCAGUGCAAAACCCCGGGGGCCUGUAUUUGGAAUAAGAAAAGCAUUGCUGCUUUGCGACUGGACGGACGAAAGAAAGGACUCCUCUGACAUUUCCUGUGGAUGUUUUAAUUCGGACGCCUCGUUACCGAGGCUUUGCAGUCAACUGCCUGGGCAUAUAGGAGGUUCAGAGGAGUUCUCUUCUUUCUUUUUCUGGUCGUUGGCAGCAAUCGCGAUCAAGCAUUCCAAGCAGGUGGGGGUCAAAGGGGGUCGUGGACCGAGUGGUGAGUUGGUGAGGAACGCCCGGGGCGUUGGACACGAUGUUGGCACCUGCAUGAACCUGACGUCGAAGCCUGGGCACCAGUUCUCUUUCCUGAGACGAAAACCGCAGGAUGGCGCUUGGGAAAGGUAAGACCAAAAUAAAUCUCAAAAGUGUGAUUGGACGGUUCCGACAGCGUUUUUAAAAAUCAUUUUUACUCUAUAUCGUCACACUUGUUUGCUGUGGGCUUGUCUUUCCCAUGAAGCAGAAAUACAUCUUAGUCUCCAUAUUUUUCCCUGUUUUGUUCCAGCAGUGAUGCUGAGGUUUGUGUGAG
rnacentral:lncRNA from 1 species